GGAGAUUUUUGAUAUAACAGGACCAUAUCGAAUCGACUUUAAAUCUACUGAGAACCUCAUGAAAGCAGGUAUGAAGAUUUAAAGCCUCUGACUUCACCAACGCCAUCCUUGUCAAAGUGUUAUUGCAAAGACUAAAAACAAAGUAUAUUUCUGAAUUAGGCAAAAGAUCACAAUCCAUUUGUACAAUUCUAUCUGCAAUUCUAGCUGGGUAUCCACAUGAUCCCGAUACUCUCUGGAUGACUCGAAUUCACCACCAGGUCUGGCCAGUUUUCGGAAGACCAAAGUUUCUGGAGACGGGUGAGAAUUAAUUUCGUUGCAGAAGUUGUUUGAUUGGGAGAAAAGGAAAAAGGACAGAAUAGAAUGUGGAGAUCGUCUUCCGUGGCAUAGUUCAUUUUUUAAGCAGCAAAUUCCUCUAAUAUUGCGUGGUAUUUGCGUCAAACUAAAAUGAUUCUUAUUUGUUUUCUCAGGUUAAUACUGUGAGAAGGCAGGACUUUUAUCACCUCA